rnacentral:misc_RNA from 1 species
ACUCUUCAACCCGCCCUUUUCUUUAAUGAUCAGGUGUCGGAGCUUGGAUUUUGAGUCUCUGCUGUUCAUUCAGCUGGCUCGUAAAACAUUAGCACUUUCGAAUUCGUAAUCGGAUUGACUUGGCGUAAUAGAUUAUUCGCUGAGGAUCAUUCGCAAGAAUGGCCGAGACAAGAGUUAGAAAAGCUUCUAACCCGCUCUUAUGAGCAAUUUUCAUA